rnacentral:tRNA from 1 species
GGUGCGGUAGUUCAGCACGGUUAGAACAUCGGCCUGUCACGCCGGGGGUCACGGGUUCGAAUCCCGUCCGCACCG